AAUGAAGUGCCUGAAGAAAAGGGUUAUUUUGAUAGAAUAAAUUAUGUAUGAACCAUACUUUCAUUA
rnacentral:tRNA from 1 species